GACAAGUGCAACAGAGAGCAAACCGCCGAUGGCCCACGCAAGUGGGAUCAGGUAAGGGUGAAAGGGUGCGGUAAGAGCGCACCGCGCGGCUGGCAACAGUCCGUGGCACGGUAAACUC
rnacentral:misc_RNA from 1 species